AGACGAGGCGAGGGGCGGGGAAGAACUUGGGGACGGAGAGGGAUUGGGGCUGGAUGCAAUCACGGAACGGAGCGACGCCGGCGCAGAUGAACUGUUCCUCGUGGGGGUUCCACAUCUCGGUGACUCCACCUUCGGAUUGCAGGUGGAAGUUAGGCUGGACUGGGGAGAUGCGGUCGAGGUUGCAUUGCUGAGCCAGGUACUCCAGAGGAGUGAUCGUCGUCCGGCCUUGAUCGUGCUCGGCGGAAGUGGCGGCGGCGGCGAGACAAGAGAGGACAAGGAAUGCGGCGGCUAGUUUGGUUGCCAUCAUGAGUAAAUAAAGCUGAA
rnacentral:lncRNA from 1 species